UACAGAGGUCCCGAGCGUUGUUCGGAUUCAUUGGGCGUAAAGGGUGCGUAGGCGGCGGGGCAAGUCUGAUGUGAAAUCCCGGGGCUCAACCCCGGAACUGCAUUCGAUACUGCUGCGCUAGAGUACUGGAGAGGAGAUUGGAAUUUACGGUGUAGCAGUGAAAUGCGUAGAUAUCGUAAGGAAGACCAGUGGCGAAGGCGGAUCUCUGGACAGUUACUGACACUGAGGCACGAAGGCCAGGGGAGCAAACGGG
rnacentral:rRNA from 1 species